AUGUCAUAAGCGAACGGACGAACGAGCGAUGUAAUAACGAGAACGGACAUGACCGGUGCAUUGAAUACAUUCACUAUGUCUCCCAUCCAUAUCGGUUGCCAAGUAAACGUAUUUCGGUGCGGCACGUAAACGUCAUUAUAAACACAAGACUAUCGGAUAACCGCAAGACAACCACAAGAGUAGAAGUAGUAACGACCGUCGAAAGUUAUCCACAUCGAAAAUUUGAAGCAAUAGAGACAGCAGUAACGAUUUCUUCCACUUCGACGACGCAAACUAGGCUGCAUUAUUGGUCUUAUAGACACAGAGGAGAUGGAUGGCGAAGUGUCCGCAACGUCAGAAAAUCGAAGAUACCGAAUAGGAAACGCGUCGUCGCUCGAGGUUACGUGGUCAGCAACUCACGUAAUUCGAGCAGAAGAAUCGGAACACUAUGUGAUAGACGCUGUCACCUCCAAUGACGACAACAACGACAAUGAAAACAAUGACGACACCGACAAUGACAAUAGCAUUGCUAGCUAUUUUGAUGCGUUUCCAAUUUCUUAGCGAAUGCAACCAAUCCGAAUAUCUGUUAAAAUCAUUUUAGACGAAAAGGAAAAAAGGAAUUAUACAGCGAUGUAGUCGAAUGUAAAAGAACGGAGAGGAAAAAAGAAUAAGACCUUUGCUUGGCGGCAAACUAUUCUCCUUCAAGUUUCUUUCGGAUCGUUCCAUUCAUUUAUCCUUUUUACGCUCUCUUUCGCGCGUUCCACGCGGACCAAAGGGGAUGUCUCCGACGAGGGGUAAGGGGACGCAGGGGAAUGCCGAACGCGCUUGAAAGAAGGCGCCACCGGUCCGAGGAGAGAGAGCACACUACCGUGACACGCAUAUUACGCGCCCGGCAAACAAACACCACGCGCGCCUGCUCCACCGAAUGACAACAACGACAACAACAACAACAACAAUAACAACAACAAUAACAAUAACAAUAAAUAGCAGAAUCGACAUAUAUAUAUACUAUAUAUACUAUAUAUACUAUAUACAU